GUUCUCUCCUCUCCCCUCUGUAUGAUUCUCAGCAUUGCCUGCUGACCAAGCCACGGCACCCAUGGCCAAACAUACACAACUUCAUGUCUCAAAGUUUGUGCUGCCUAAAGCCCUCAACCUCCCAAGACAGGCACUGCUAAGGGAAUUCUCAGAUGGGGCACAAAGGGAGAUAAGUGGGAGGGGUAUAGGGAGAAAGAGGGAGCCACAGGAAGCAGAGGCAGGGGAACUUGUUGGAAUGGCAUCCAGGACUCUAGUCUUUUUAGGAGUAAGAAUUUCAAGGUAUAAGUGGGAAACAAACAGAUUUACAUGGUUAAAGAAAAUGGAGAACUAACACAAAGGAGGAAAUGACCAACCCGCCUAUGUUCGAUUGUAGAAACCCCUGAUUAAUUACAGUCAUUAUGUGAAUUGUUUGUGUGUUUCUGAUUACCAUGCAGCUCAGUAUCAGUGAUAUAUAAUGUAAAUAUAUAUCAGAUCAGCUGUGCCCUAAAUUUAAUUAGAAAGCUUUACCAACCGAUAUUUAGUAUUCUUAAUUUGUCGCUCACAUCGUAAGAGCCUUCACAACCUAAAAUUAAAAGAAUGUUUCAAAAAGUGAAUUCCAAUGGUAUUCUUUUCUCCUACCCCAAAGUUCCUGCUUUCUUUCUAACUUGCCCCCAUAAGUUCCAGGAGAGCAGUUAUCAGGCUUCCCUAUGUUAUUGGUGGCUUAUAUACCACUGCGGUCAUUCUGUGGCUUUGACACAGCCGCAGUGGCAAUGGCCAUGCAGUCAUUCAUUUAGUCACUAGAUAUUUCCUGAGCUUCUGUGAUGUACCAAGACUGUGCCUGGUGCUGAAGAUGUUAGGAAGAAUAAGAUUCAGUCCCUUCCCUCCAGAUGUUUACACCUAGAAUCCAUACCAGCUUAUAUAUCUAGCCACAUCUUCCUACAUACCCCAUACCACUGAUUCAUUGCAAUGCUAUUUAUCCCUGAAAUAUUUCUUCAAAAAAUGUAUAUGUGUGGAUGUAUAUAUACAUAUGCACAUACAUAAAUGUACUAUCAUAAAAGAGUACAUUACGAUUACUUCAUGUGUCAAGUUUUCCCAUGCUCCAAGUGCUGUUUCAUACUCUGUAUCGGAGCCAGCGCAGCAACCUGGAAGGUUCCCUCACACAGUAAGCCUCA
rnacentral:lncRNA from 1 species